rnacentral:rRNA from 1 species
AUUGAACGCUGGCGGCAGGCCUAGCACAUGCAAGUCGAACGGUAACAGGAAGAAGCUUGCUUCUUUGCUGACGAGUGGCGGACGGGUGAGUAAUGUCUGGGAAACUGCCUGAUGGAGGGGGAUAACUACUGGAAGCGGUAGCUAAUACCGCAUAACGUCGCAAGCCCAAAAAGGGGGACCUUCGGGCCUCUUGCCAUCGGAUGUGCCCAGAUGGGAUUAGCUAGUAGGUGGGGUAACGGCUCACCUAGGCGACGAUCCCUAGCUGGUCUGAGAGGAUGACCAGCCACACUGGAACUGAGACACGGUCCAGACUCCUACGGGAGGCAGCAGUGGGGAAUAUUGCACAAUGGGCGCAAGCCUGAUGCAGCCAUGCCGCGUGUAUGAAGAAGGCCUUCGGGUUGUAAAGUACUUUCAGCGGGGAGGAAGGGAGUAAAGUUAAUACCUUUGCUCAUUGACGUUACCCGCAGAAGAAGCACCGGCUAACUCCGUG